GACGAACGCUGGCGGCGUGCCUAAUACAUGCAAGUUGAGCGAUGAAGCUUGGUGCUUGCCCCAAUUUGAAGAGCAGCGAACGGGUGAGUAACGCGUGGGGAAUCUGCCUUUGAGCGGGGGACAACAUUUGGAAACGAAUGCUAAUACCGCAUAACAACUUUAAACAUAAGUUUUAAGUUUGAAAGAUGCAAUUGCAUCACUCAAAGAUGAUCCCGCGUUGUAUUAGCUAGUUGGUGAGGUAAAGGCUCACCAAGGCGAUGAUACAUAGCCGACCUGAGAGGGUGAUCGGCCACAUUGGGACUGAGACACGGCCCAAACUCCUACGGGAGGCAGCAGUAGGGAAUCUUCGGCAAUGGACGAAAGUCUGACCGAGCAACGCCGUGUGAGGGAAGAAGGUUUUCGGAUCGUAAAACUCGGUUGGUAGAGAAGAACGUUGGUGAGAGUGGAAAGCUCAUCAAGUGACGGUAACUACCCAGAAAGGGACGGCUAACUACGUG
rnacentral:rRNA from 1 species